CAAGGUCUCCGUUGGUGAACCAGCGGAGGGAUCAUUACCGAGUUUACAACUCCCAAACCCAAUGUGAACGUUACCAAACUGUUGCCUCGGCGGGAUCUCUGCCCCGGGUGCGUCGCAGCCCCGGACCAAGGCGCCCGCCGGAGGACCAACCAAAACUCUUAUUGUAUACCCCCUCGCGGGUUUUUUUAUAAUCUGAGCCUUCUCGGCGCCCCUCGUGGGCGUUUCGAAAAUGAAUCAAAACUUUCAACAACGGAUCUCUUGGUUCUGGCAUCGAUGAAGAACGCAGCGAAAUGCGAUAAGUAAUGUGAAUUGCAGAAUUCAGUGAAUCAUCGAAUCUUUGAACGCACAUUGCGCCCGCCAGUAUUCUGGCGGGCAUGCCUGUCCGAGCGUCAUUUCAACCCUCGAACCCCUCCGGGGGGUCGGCGUUGGGGAUCGGCCCUCCCUCUGCGGGGGCCGUCUCCGAAAUACAGUGGCGGUCUCGCCGCAGCCUCUCCUGCGCAGUAGUUUGCACACUCGCACCGGGAGCGCGGCGCGUCCACAGCCGUUAAACACCCAACUUUCUGAAAUGUUGACCUCGGAUCAGGUAGGAAUACCCGCUGAACUUAACU
rnacentral:rRNA from 1 species